GAUGAACGCUGGCGGCGUGCCUAAUACAUGCAAGUCGAGCGAACAGAUGAGGAGCUUGCUCCUCUGACGUUAGCGGCGGACGGGUGAGUAACACGUGGAUAACCUACCUAUAAGACUGGGAUAACUUCGGGAAACCGGAGCUAAUACCGGAUAAUAUAUUGAACCGCAUGGUUCAAUAGUGAAAGACGGUUUUGCUGUCACUUAUAGAUGGAUCCGCGCCGCAUUAGCUAGUUGGUAAGGUAACGGCUUACCAAGGCAACGAUGCGUAGCCGACCUGAGAGGGUGAUCGGCCACACUGGAACUGAGACACGGUCCAGACUCCUACGGGAGGCAGCAGUAGGGAAUCUUCCGCAAUGGGCGGAAGCCUGACGGAGCAACGCCGCGUGAGUGAUGAAGGUCUUCGGAUCGUAAAACUCUGUUAUUAGGGAAGAACAAAUGUGUAAGUAACUAUGCACGUCUUGACGGUACCUUAUCAGAAAGCCACGGCUAACUACGUG
rnacentral:rRNA from 1 species